CGACGUCUUCGGUCACUGGUUUUCUGCUACAAUAUCGGGGAGAAUAAGUAUUCGAGGGCUCUUUUGAAUGCCGAUGAUGGUACCAGCUUUGAAGCGAUUGAUAAGCAUUGAGGUCGAGGUUAGAGAGAAUUCUGUUAUUGUAGUGCGGAGGUUUGCGGCCAUGUCAGGGAUGGGGGAUGGGUACGUAGGCACCGCCCAGGAUGCCGCCAGGAUUCGGCGGCUUGAGAAGCAGCGCGAGGCGGAGCGGAAGCGUAUUCAGGACCUCAAGAAGAAGUCUGCGGAGGGGCAGGGAGGUCUUCUGCAAUUCGGCUCCGGCACUUCAGAGUUAUUGGAAAGUGCGUUCAAGAAAGAAACUGUGGGACUUGUGACUCGGGAACAGUUUGUGGAGAAGAGAGUCAAUUUGCAAUCAAAACUUGAAGAAGAGGAGAAAGAGAAGCAGCAGAAGCUCGCUCUAGAGGAGGAGCAGAGACAUGUGCAAAAACGGAAGAAACGGAGGGUUAAAGGCCCUUCACGUCUUUCUUUUUCUGAUGAAAUUGACGGGGACACAGAUGAAGAAAGUGAAGCUGUUGAGAAACAGAAAGGAGAACCUUUGAAACAGCAAAAGCUAGGAAAAUUUGGGAAAGAUCCUAAUGUCGAGACCAGCUUCUUACCUGACAGAGAGCGGGAGGCUGAGGAGCAAGCUGAGAGAGAGCGCCUGCGGAAUCAGUGGCUUCAAGAGCAAGCUCGCAUUAAAAACGAGCCUUUGGAGAUUACUUACAGUUACUGGGAUGGAGCUGGGCAUCGUCGAGUCAUACAGGUUCGCAAAGGCGACACUAUAGCUGAAUUUUUGCGAGCUGUUCAACAGCAGCUUGCUUCAGAAUUUCGAGAGAUACGUACGGCAUCUGUUGAGAAUCUCCUCUAUGUGAAGGAGGAUCUCAUCAUCCCUCACCAACAUAGCUUUUAUGACCUCAUUAUCAACAAGGCGAGGGGCAAAAGUGGGCCGGUAAACCUAAAGUCUCUAUUGCCUACUUUUUCAUUUUGAUGUCCACGAAGAUAUUCGAACAAUAGCAGAUGCUACGAUCGAAAAGGAUGAGUCGCACGCAGGGAAAGUAGUUGAGCGUCACUGGUAUGAGAAAAAUAAGCACAUUUUCCCAGCCUCAAGAUGGGAGAUAUAUGAUCCUACCAAGAAAUGGGAGCGAUAUACAAUUCACGGUGACUGACUGGAGUUCGGUUGGACGAUACCAGUCCGCUGAUCUUAUCAUCAGUUGUUUUAAAAAGUUUUGGCCACUCAGUUGCAGCUGAUUUUUCUUUUGACAACUUCACUUGUUAUUAUUUUAAUGAGAAAAAGUCUGACAUUCACACUUGCACACCA